GUUGUUGAAAAUGCAUGAAGGACUCAAAUACUGCAAGUCUACGAAACUUGCAAAUAAUGUGAAUCUCCCUGUAAGAGCCUCUGGAUGCAGAUGUGAAGGGACUUGCACUAAUACAAGAAUUUGUGAUUGUGAAAAAUUAAGUGGAGUUGAUUUUCCAUAUGUUAGCAGAGACGGGGGCAGACUUGUUGUACCAAUAUCAAUUCUAUAUGAACGUGGUUUGUUGUGUGGUUGCGGUGAUGGUUGUGAAAACAAAUCAUUACAUCAUGGGGUUUUCCAUACGGCAAGUAAAGCAUGGGGAGUAAGAAGUUGAGACUUCAUACCCUCUGGUGCUCCUGUAUGCGAAUGAAUACUCGCGCGUGUUUACAAAAUGUAAUCAACAUUGCUGAUUCAUAACAAGACAAUGCUCAUAUUGCAGGUGGUAGAACCAAGAGGGGGCAAGGUGAAACAUGAACUCGACAAAAAAGAAUUGGACUCAUCAAGGUAUUGUGUAUGAUUCACAUCUUGUCGCCACCUCUCCUGUUUUGAAGACCUAAUAAUUUGAAUUAAGCUGUCAAUCAGCAAAUGAAGACACGAAUGGUGAAGUGAUGCCAGUAAAAUGCUACUAAAUUUUAUGGGGGUGUUUUGAAGUUUUUCUAGUUAAGUAGGUGAAAGGAAUUGAAGUUGAGUACUAUUAGGGUUGAAAGUUGUCAGAUAUGAAAUAGGGGUGAUUUCAGUUGUAAUGAAGAUUGCAAUAAAAUGCUCAU